CCCUUCGGGGCAGAAACCGGCGCACGGGUGCGUAACGCGUAUGCAACCUACCUUUUACAGGGGGAUAGCCCGAAGAAAUUUGGAUUAAUAUCCCAUAAUAUUAUUGGAUGGCAUCAUUUGAUAAUUAAAACUACGGUGGUAAAAGAUGGGCAUGCGUCCUAUUAGCUAGUUGGAGUGGUAACGGCACCCCAAGGCUACGAUAGGUAGGGGUCCUGAGAGGGAGAUCCCCCACACUGGUACUGAGACAGGGACCAGACUCCUACGGGAGGCAGCAGUGAGGAAUAUUGGUCAAUGGUCGGAAGACUGAACCAGCCAUGCCGCGUGCAGGAAGAAUGCCUUAUGGGUUGUAAACUGCUUUUAUAUAGGAAGAAUAAGAUGUACGAGUACAUUGAUGACGGUACUAUAUGAAUAAGCAUCGGCUAACUCCGUGCCAGCAGCCGCGGUAAUACGGAGGAUGCGAGCGUUAUUCGGAAUCAUUGGGUUUAAAGGGUCUGUAGGCGGGCUAUUAAGUCAGGGGUGAAAGGUUUCAGCUUAACUGAGAAAUUGCCUUUGAUACUGGUAGUCUUGAAUAUCUGUGAAGUUCUUGGAAUGUGUAGUGUAGCGGUGAAAUGCUUAGAUAUUACACAGAACACCGAUUGCGAAGGCAGGGGGCUAACAGACGAUUGACGCUGAGAGACGAAAGCGUGGGGAGCGAACAGGAUUAGAUACCCUGGUAGUCCACGCUGUAAACGAUGGAUACUAGCUGUUUGGUUGUUAAGACUGAGUGGCUAAGCGAAAGUGAUAAGUAUCCCACCUGGGGAGUACGCACGCAAGUGUGAAACUCAAAGGAAUUGACGGGGGCCCGCACAAGCGGUGGAGCAUGUGGUUUAAUUCGAUGCAACGCGAA
rnacentral:rRNA from 1 species